UGUUGCCCAGAUAUGCAACCCAAGAGGGGGGGUGAAUUGGGUUUUUAAAAAUUUUAAGCUUAACUAAUUACUUAUGAAAAGUAUUUGUUAAAAGCUUGAUGAAUGAGAAGAAAGACUUUAAUUCAAGAUUAAUUACCUAAAGCCAGAAUGCAAAGAUAUAAUAAAGAAAUAAAGAGAAACAAUAAAGCACACCACAAACACAAGGAUUUAUAGUGGUUCGGUGCCAACCUUGCACCUACAUCCACUCCCCAAGCUCCUAUUUGGGAAUUCUAAUCCACUAUACUUGUAUUCAACCUGAAUACAAACGUCGGAAACUCCGACACUAGCUAUCCCAAGCUAGUCCACUUGUUUUCCGGGUACAAGCCA
rnacentral:lncRNA from 1 species